CUACGGAGGCUCCAAGCGUUAUCCGGAAUCAUUGGGUUUAAAGGGUCCGUAGGCGGGUUUGUAAGUCAGUGGUGAAAGUUUUCGGCUCAACCGGAAAAUUGCCAUUGAUACUGCAAGUCUUGAAUUAUUGUGAAGUGAUUAGAAUGUGUAGUGUAGCGGUGAAAUGCAUAGAUAUUACACAGAAUACCGAUUGCGAAGGCAGAUCACUAACAAUAUAUUGACGCUAAGGGACGAAAGCGUGGGUAGCGAACAGGAUUAGAAACCCCAGUAGUCCC
rnacentral:rRNA from 1 species